rnacentral:lncRNA from 10 species
GCUGGCUGACAUUUUCCUGCCCGGAAGGAUGCAUGGCCCGGGGUCUCCUGCACCUGAGGGUGGGCGGGAGGCGGCCCCGCGGGUUGUGUUGCUGGAAAAAGGGGUCUCGAUCCAGACCCCAAGAGAGGGUUCUUGGGUCUACUUCAGGGAAGAAUUGGAGGCGAGUCACAGAGCGCAGUGAAGGAAGCAAGUUUAUUGGAAUCUACUCCGUUAGAGAGUGCAAGUCCUCAGACUGCAGGAGGAGGAACUCCCGUCCUUCGGUAGUGUCACUACUUAGAGGCAGCUGUGAGGAGCUGUGAUUAAUCGUGGAAUGUGCUGAUGUGCCCACUAAAGAUGCCUGGUAAGCAGUGGCUCCUCUAACAAGUGGGCAGCUUGGAACUGGGAACGAGAGAGCCACCGAAACAGAAUGAGGGAGACAAAGAAGUGGGCAUCACCCUUAACUCCACAAGGGCUUCCCAAGGGCGCUGUACCGUACGCAGGCCCAGGACGAACUUUAUUUCUCGCCCCAGCAUCGCUGUCCUUGUCGGUGAGACCCUGGCUUUAGGGCAGACAGGACCACGUUUCAUAAGUUCAUGCUGUCCCAGCAGAGGAAUAACGCCAGAAAGUGUUCCAGUACAACCAGAGAAAGAGAGUCCAUGAGAAAUCUGCCCUUGUGAAGUUGGAAUCCCCUCAACCUCACCCCGCUGACUUGAAUGAAGCGACUGAGACGGGCUAUGAUGGAGCAGAUCCGGUUGCUCGACCUUCUCCCUUGCACCAACACAUGUAGUUAAUAGUUACUGGACAUGCAUAUUCAGUGGGUUCCAGGUACCAAACUUGUAUUGAAUGGUAUGUGCCAGACACCGUCUUGAGAUCUGGAGAAUAAAAAAAUAAAAAAAUAAAAACGAGACAUCCAGAGCACAGUA